CUUGUUCCAGCAACUUCAGAACCUUCUGUCAACAAUUCACAGACUGCCAAACUGCAAAGGAGCUAUUGCUUGCUGAUGUGGAAGCAUUGACUGCAGAGGUUGCUUUGUGGCUGAGAUGCCAGAUACUUGAAGCUCUACACAAAGACUUCUCCAGAUGCCACAGAACACCAUCAGCCAUGAUACGAAGUAUUAGCCAUAGCACUAAAUAUUGCUUUUAAAUGUCUGAGUGAUCUCAGAACACCAAACAGAAAACACCACAAGAUGCUACCAGCUACCUAUUGGAGGAUUCAACUUGAAGGCUGAAUUGCAGGUAUAGAUUGAGCAAGCUGGGAACAGGGGGAAGAACUUCAAACAAACAAAUCAGCCACCUCAGGCCUUUAAUCCUAACAGGGGAAAAAAUAUGCUGAGAAAGGCAAAAUAUUUUUCUGUAUCAGCAGUAUCUUACAGCUAAUAAAUGAAAUAUGACAGU